GGUGCAGGUGAUGAUUUCAAGCGACCAAAGCCUGAGAGUUUGUGAUUAGAACUUUUCUGGUAGCUGAUGCACC
rfam:Haliaeetus albicilla contig60454, whole genome shotgun sequence.